rnacentral:lncRNA from 1 species
CAACACAUGGGAAUUUUGGGAGAUACAAUUCGGGAUAUGAAUGGGGACACAGCCAAACCAUAUCGACCAUUUUAAAGCAAUGAAAAGUAAUGGAACAAGAGCAGAUCUCUCCCCUCAUUGCUAAAUGCAAUAAAAGAGCAGGCUUCCUUUCUCCAAUGCAAAUGACACCAUCUUCAGGUUGCUGAAUAAAUCCUCUAUUGUUGACAUUCUAAGGAAGAGGAAUUCAAUUCCAUAGCAUCAAGAAGGAGCCAAGGACAUGGUAAUUGAUACUCAGAAUUACAAGGCCCAGGAGCUCCAGGAAAAAUAAAUAAAUAAAUAAGAGAACACUCCUUACUGGAUGUUUUAGCACGCCAUGAUCUAAAGUAGAG